UACGUAGGGCGCGAGCGUUGUCCGGAAUUAUUGGGCGUAAAGAGCUCGUAGGUGGCUUGUUGCGUCUGCCGUGAAAGCCCCGUGGCUUAACUACGGGUCUGCGGUGGAUACGGGCAGGCUAGAGGCUGGUAGGGGCAAGCGGAAUUCCUGGUGUAGCGGUGAAAUGCGCAGAUAUCAGGAGGAACACCGGUGGCGAAGGCGGCUUGCUGGGCCAGUUCUGACGCUGAGGAGCGAAAGCGUGGGGAGCGAACAGG
rnacentral:rRNA from 1 species